AGCGAACGCUGGCGGCAGGCCUAACACAUGCAAGUCGAACGGACCCUUCGGGGUUAGUGGCGGACGGGUGAGUAACACGUGGGAACGCGCGUUUAGGUUCGGAAUAGCUCCUGGAAACGGGUGGUAAUGCCGAAUGUGCCCGCGCGGGGAAAGAUUUAUCGCCUUUAGAGCGGCCCGCGUCUGAUUAGCUAGUUGGUGAGGUGAUAGCUCACCAAGGCGACGAUCAGUAGCUGGUCUGAGAGGAUGACCAGCCACAUUGGGACUGAGACACGGCCCAAACUCCUACGGGAGGCAGCAGUGGGGAAUCUUGCGCAAUGGGCGAAAGCCUGACGCAGCCAUGCCGCGUGGAUGAUGAAGGUCUUAGGAUUGUAAAAUCCUUUCACCGGUGAAGAUAAUGACUGUAGCCGGAGAAGAAGCCCCGGCUAACUUCGUGCCAGCAGCCGCCGUAACAC
rnacentral:rRNA from 1 species